rnacentral:rRNA from 1 species
UACGAAGGGGGCUAGCGUUGCUCGGAAUCACUGGGCGUAAAGGGUGCGUAGGCGGGUCUUUAAGUCAGGGGUGAAAUCCUGGAGCUCAACUCCAGAACUGCCUUUGAUACUGAAGAUCUUGAGUUCGGGAGAGGGUGAGUGGAACUGCGAGUGUAGAGGUGAAAUUCGUAGAUAUUCGCAAGAACACCAGUGGCGAAGGCGGCUCACUGGCCCGAUACUGACGCUGAGGCACGAAAGCGUGGGGAGCAAACAGGG